rnacentral:rRNA from 1 species
AUUGAACGCUGGCGGCAUGCUUUACACAUGCAAGUCGAACGGCAGCGCGGGCUUCGGCCUGGCGGCGAGUGGCGGACGGGUGAAUAAUACCUUGGAACGUCGCCAGGGAUGGGGGAUAGCUCGGCCAAAGCCGGAUUAAUACCGCCUACGGCCUGAAGCGGAAAGCCGGGGGUCUUCGCACGUCGCGCUAUUCCGGCGGCCGAUGGCAGAUUAGCUAGUUGGUGGGGUAAAGGCCUACCAAGGCGACGAUCUGUAGCUGGUCUGAGAGGACGACCAGCCACACUGGGACUGAGACACGGCCCAGACUCCUACGGGAGGCAGCAGUGGGGAAUUUUGGACAAUGGGCGAAAGCCUGAUCCAGCCAUGCCGCGUGUGUGAUGAAGGCCUUCGGGUUGUAAAGCACUUUUGGCGGGAACGAAAAGGACUGUGCCAAUACCACGGUUCGAUGACGGUACCCGCAGAAUAAGCACCGGCUAACUACGUG